GCAUCUAUGGCCGAGUGGUCGAUGGCACGGGACUCAUAAUCUCGCUCUUAACAGACAUCGCUGGUUCGAAUCCAGCUGGAUGCA
rnacentral:tRNA from 1 species